GAUGAACGCUGGCGGCGUGCCUAAUACAUGCAAGUCGAGCGAACGGACGAGAAGCUUUCUUUUCUGAUGUUAGCGGCGGACGGGUGAGUAACACGUGGAUAACCUACCUAUAAGACUGGGAUAACUUCGGGAAACCGGAGCUAAUACCGGAUAAUAUUUUGAACCGCAUGGUUCAAAAGUGAAAGACGGUCUUGCUGUCACUUAUAGAUGGAUCCGCGCUGCAUUAGCUAGUUGGUAAGGUAACGGCUUACCAAGGCAACGAUGCAUAGCCGACCUGAGAGGGUGAUCGGCCACACUGGAACUGAGACACGGUCCAGACUCCUACGGGAGGCAGCAGUAGGGAAUCUUCCGCAAUGGGCGAAAGCCUGACGGAGCAACGCCGCGUGAGUGAUGAAGGUCUUCGGAUCGUAAAACUCUGUUAUUAGGGAAGAACAUAUGUGUAAGUAACUGUGCACAUCUUGACGGUACCUAAUCAGAAAGCCACGGCUAACUACGUG
rnacentral:rRNA from 1 species